rnacentral:lncRNA from 1 species
CCUUAAGUAGAUUAUUACAACGACAAGAUCGUAGAUUAUUUAUCUUGAAAAGGACAUGGGGAGAACAUAAAAGAUAACUUAUCAUGGGGAGAACAAAAUAGAAACUUAUCAUGGGGAGAUCAUAAUAGAAAACUUAUCACGAUGAGAACACAUAAGAAAGCGUUUCACAGGGAGAACAAUAGAAAACUUAUCAUGGUGAGAUCACAACAGAAACCUUAUCAUUGACAGAACACAUUAAACGUCAACUUGUCAUGGAGAGAACACAAUAGAAAACUUAUCAUGAGGAGAAAUCGAACACAAUAGAAAACUCAUCACAGGGAAAUUACAAUAGAAAACUUAUCACGAGGAUAACAUUAAAGAAAACUUAUCAUGGGGAGAACACAAUAGGAAACUUAUCAUGGGGAGUACAUAACAGAAAACUUAUCAAGAUAGGAACACAAUGAUUACUUUUCAGGGGGAGAACAUAAUUAGAAUACUUAUCACGGGGAGAACACAACAUAAAACUUAUCAUGGGAGAACACAAUAGAAAAUGUGUCACAGGGGGG